UACGGAGGGGGCGAGCGUUAUUCGGAAUCACUGGGCGUAGAGGGCGCGUAGGCGGCUUGCACCGUCAGAUGUGAAAUUCCUGGGCUUAACCUGGGGGCUGCAUUUGAUACGUGUGGGCUUGAGUGCGGAAGAGGGCGUGGAAUUCCCAGUGUAGAGGUGAAAUUCGUAGAUAUUGGGAAGAACACCGGUGGCGAAGGCGGCGACCUGGUCCGUGACUGACGCUGAGACGCGAAAGCGUGGGGAGCAAACAGG
rnacentral:rRNA from 1 species